AGAAUCAACGCUGGCGGCGUGCCUAACACAUGCAAGUCGCACGAGAAAGGGGAGCAAUCCCUGAGUAAAGUGGCGCACGGGUGAGUAACACGUGAAUAAUCUACCUCCGAGUGGGGAAUAACUGAGAGAAAUCUUAGCUAAUACCGCAUAACACUUACGAGUCAAAGCAGCAAUGCGCUUGGAGAGGAGUUCGCGGCCGAUUAGUUAGUUGGCGGGGUAAUGGCCCACCAAGACUGUGAUCGAUA
rnacentral:rRNA from 1 species